AAUGACCUAAAACACAUCGUCAGAGCCUGUUAAUAAUAUAGAAAGGUAAAACUGGUAAAACGUCGACAAGAGUGCCCAACAGCACAACAACAGAUUUAAACAGUGACCGCGGCGGUGAACUCACAUGGCGAGCAAGUACGAGUUCGUGCAUCGUUCCAAAGUAAAAUUUGAAAUAUAUUCGAGGGUAAAGAAGGAAGGAGAAAGAAGAGAGUAGACGCGAGAGUAUUAUAGGCGUACGGGCGAUGUUCCGUUGACGCGAGAGCGCUCCAUUCGUAGCCCUCUGGCGGAUAUCUGCCGCAGUAAAAUUCGUGCCAGGGGAUAAGCUGUCCCGUUACAUCAACGACGAGCUUGUUCGAUAUCGAGGUUCAACUGACAUUGAAUUGAAUAGCACGCCCUGAAAAUACUGAUAUCACAUCAAUGUUGGUUUAUACGCGUCAACGAGAACGAUGGGAGAGAGGAAAUGAAAGAAAGGAGCCCCAACAACGUCUUUCAGACUCGCGUGAGCGCGUAUACGGGGACACUCGAGAAAACAAAUAAAAAAGAUUACUAUUACGGAGCGUCACGAAAUAAGCAGAGAGUGUACGGCGGCGAUUUAAUCAUGGAGUUUUUUUAUCCACCGCUCAAAACAAAAAAUUAAGUUUUCACUUCCGAA